UCAAGUGCAGAAGUACAAACUCAAUAAAAUUAGGAAACAAAAUACUAAAAGUGGAAAAUAAUGAAAAACUAAUGAUUUUUGCCAUCUUCUACAUUUCUUUCUUUUCAAUGUAUCAAUAAAUAGCGAUGUUAUCAGGAACGUACAUACAUAUAUGCAAUUGCAAGACUUCCGUUCUUAUAAGAAUUUCGAUGUGCGGACUGGAGAUUCUUUGAAAUUGGACAAGUGUUGAGUAGACUUGUUAUCAGGAACGUAUAGGCAGUGGCAAGUAAGACUUUCGUUUUUAUAAGAAUAUAGAUGUGCGGAUUGGAAAUUCAUUGCAAUUGGACAAGUAAUUAGUAAUUGAUUAAGUGAGCUCACUC
rnacentral:sRNA from 1 species